rnacentral:rRNA from 1 species
UUUGAGCUAAAAAAGGUAAUACUACCCAGGAAACCUACGCUCUUUGGCGGCCUUUUUUCUUAUUGAAGGAACUUGCUCAUUAAUCGAAAUUACCCGCUCGUUUUCUCUUUUAUCAAGUUUUUAUAUCGUCGUCUUAAGGAUAUUGUUAAACAUAUUACCCUGCCCUGAACAUUCAAGCAAGUCAGAUCAAGGUGAAGCUUAUAUAAAAGGCUUGGGUGAGUUAUGUUUAAGAACUACUAAGGGCUUUUACUUUAAAAAGAUAUAUAAAUUAAGAUUCGACAGUACCUUGAUUCCAAAAAAUUUUAGGGAAGAAGUAAAAUAAGGUGU